AACAGAAUCUGUAAUGACUGAUGACAGACAAUUGCAAGGUAAUGUAGAGCGUUAAAAAUGAACAUUUAUUAUUAUCAUGCUUGACAGACCCGUCUAAAAUGUUCGACAAGUUCAUUAGCUAUAUCAUGGUAAAAAAAAACACCCGUGUAUUCUAUAGUGUUCCGUGUUUAUUAUCUUACCGUUUAGAAACUUUCAAAACAUAAAUAUUUCAGACAGACAACUUCAGUCUUCGAUCAAGUUGAACACCUAUCGUCUUCCUGUUACUUUCUACUGGGGUCAUUCAACCGUGGUUAACUUGCGGCAAGUUGUUAUAGGAUUCCCGCGCUUUGAAGGGAAGCACGUGAUGAGAGUGCCACCAGAAGCAGAAUUUAAUAUAUAUUACCUUAAAGGUACAAAAUUACAUAGACUAGAAUGGAUGAGCACAAAGAAAAAGUUCUGAAAGGGAUGAAUGACAAUAAGACUAAACGGUCAAACUCUGCUGAAACACCCCAAAAAUUUCAGGAAUCAAAAAUACCAAGGCUUAUUAAAAAUUUAAAUAGCCAAACUCACCAAUCCAAAGAAAUCAAUGAAAAAUCAAUGGAAGACACUGACUCAAGUGUUUCAUCAAAGAGUUCAAGACAAAAUAAUUCGGAAUCAAUGCCUAAUUCCUUUUUUACAAAUUUCCGCAGCAAGAAAAAAUUCUGGCCUGAUCUUAGGAAAAUUAAA